GCGCCAAUAGCUCCACUGAAGAGAGUAUCAGACUUCGAAUCUGAGGGUUGUGGGUUCGAUUCAUACUUGGCACGCCA
rnacentral:tRNA from 1 species